AUGUAGGAUAGAGGCCUACCAUGGUGGUAACGGGUAACGGGGUGUUAGGGCACGACACCGGAGAGGGAGCCUGAGAAACGGCUACCACAUCCAAGGAUGGCAGCAGGCGCGCAAAUUACCCAAUCCCGACACGGGGAGGUAGUGACAAUAAAUAACAAUACGGGGUUCUUUAGGAUCUCGUAAUUGGAAUGAGUACAAUUUAAAUCUCUUAACGAGGAACAAUUGGAGGGCAAGUCUGGUGCCAGCAGCCGCGGUAAUUCCAGCUCCAAUAGCGUAUAUUAAAGUUGUUGCAGUUAAAAAGCUCGUAGUUGAAUUUCGGGGUUAGUAGGUUGGUCAUGCCUCUGGUAUGUACUGGUCUCACUGAUUCCUCCUUCCUUAUGAACCGUAAUGCCAUUAAUUUGGUGUUGCGGGGAAUUUGGACUGUUACUUUGAAAAAAUUAGAGUGUUUAAAGCAAGCUAACGCUUGAAUACAUUAGCAUGGAAUAAUGAAAUAGGACGUUCGAUCUUAUUUUGUUGGUUUCUAGGAUUGACGUAAUGAUUAAUAGGGAUAGUUGGGGGCAUUAGUAUUCAAUUGUCAGAGGUGAAAUUCUUGGAUUUAUUGAAGACUAACUACUGCGAAAGCAUUUGCCAAGGAUGUUUUCAUUAAUCAAGAACGAAAGUUAGGGGAUCGAAGACGAUCAGAUACCGUCGUAGUCUUAACCAUAAACUAUGCCGACUAGGGAUCGGAUG
rnacentral:rRNA from 1 species